rnacentral:tRNA from 1 species
GUGGCUCAGUGGUAGAGCGCUUGCCUCUCAUGCAUGAGCCCCUGAGUUUGAUUCCUCAGC